AGCGCUGGAAGCAAGAUGGCGGCCGCCGAGAGGGUUCACAAAGGCUCUGGUCCAUUAGAGGAAGGAGGUCCCAGAAUAGCUGGGAAAUUACGAGAACAGCCUCACUGCACGAGUUGGUGAAUGCUGUGGUGCGAUUGUAUGAUGGACGGUGAUGUUGAAACCAGACUGGGGAAUGACCGCCCCAUCCGGAGAGAAAAGCACCAAGGAUUCUCUUUUGUUGAAUUUGAGUUGGCAGAGGAUGUUGCAGCAGCUGUCAACAACAUGUUUGGUCAGAUGAAGACUGGGUGGAGAAGUUUGCUGGGAAGAGGAUAAAGAGGAAGGUGGUUGAGACUUCCCAAAGCAGAAAGCCAGGAGGUAAGAAUGACAGUUCAUGCUUCCAUAGGAGAGGCUGCUGCUUUCCACAUAGGGAAUUUCUGAGGUGAGUGGUGUUGGGUGAAUUUAAAGGAGAAGUUUUGGCUUUCUUAUCUGGGUGAGAAAUAUCUUAUGUGGGCUCAGGUAUUUGUGAUUGCUGCUGAGCAAGGCGGAUAUCUGAGGUGAGAAAGGAUGGUGAGUACUCUGCAUCACCAGCAUCCGCUAUCCUCCUAGUCUUUGGCAGCAGGCUCACUGUCUUCCUGUUCUUGCCCUGAUUCCAAGGGGGCAGAAUCAUGUAGAGGUCCCUUCCCCUCAGUCAGUACACAGGCACAAGGCUCUCCCUGCCCUCUCCACUUGCUCCUGCUUCUCCAUCAGGCCAUCCUGACUGUUGCUUCCCAGGAUAAUUUAAGGGCUCCUCCUCCUCAGUCCACCCUUUGAGCAGUGAUAUUUCCCUGAAUUCCUUCCUUAGCCCUCAGCUCCUCUCUCCACAUUAUCCUUAUGCCAUGUCAGCCACUUCCAUCUCCUAAGGUUAUAACGAUCUUUCAUUGUCCGAAUGAUAUUCUGAUCUCUAUCCCUAGCCCUGACCUUUCACAUAUUUCUGUUUGGGUGUCUUAUAGGCACCAUAAAUAAAGCAUAUCCCAAAUGGGUUUCAUCACCUUUCUGGUCUUUUUUUAUGCCCAAUCUUAGUUCACUUUGCCAUCUUCAACAUAGUCACACCCAAACCAGAUUCCUUGGUGCCAGCUUAGAUCCCUCACUGUAUUUCAUACCUAAUGCAUUACCAUACCCUGCUAAUUUUAUCUUUUAAAUCUUGCGUUUCUCCUCUCCAGUUUUCUUCUGCCACUGUUGUCUUGGCUGAGGCCUUAUCCUCUCUCCUGUGAAUAAUUGGAGUAGCUUCCUAACUGGUCUCCCUGCCCCAGGCCUGUUUUCCUCCUAUCCUUAGCAGCCAGAGGGAGCUUUCUAAAGGGCAGAUCUGACUAUCUCACUCUCCUUAAGCAUUCUAGGGACUCCCUUGAUUUAUAGGAUUGAGUCCAGCCUCCAUCAAAAGGGACAGAAGACCUCUCUAUGUUCUGAUUCCUGCUUAUGUCUCCAUAUUUUAUCUCCAUUUUAUAUUCUAGGAAACAAGAGUUUGUAGAUACCUGUAAAUCUCUAUGUUUUGAUGUAAGUCAUUCCUCUGCCUGCAGUGUCCGUUUCCAAUUUAUUUUAUGUGGCUAAUGCCUGCUCAUUUCUCAUAGCACAGCCCAUUUACUGCCUUCUCCAGGAAGCUUUUCUGAAUCCUCCAGUGAGUAAGGCAAGUAUCACUCUGGGCUCCCAUGGCCUCUGGGUUCCUGUGGCACCCUCUGUCCUGGCAUUAUAUUGAAAUGUGAUUAUAUAGAAAUGUGACUGCAUUAUAUUGAAAUUACUUAUUUAACACAUGUCUAAAUAUUGCUUACUCUAUGCUAGGCACUGUUCUAAGUGCUCUACUAAUAUUUAACCCUAAUAACAAUUAUUUGAGAUAAGUACUAUUAUUAUCCCCAGUUCUAGGUGAGGAAGCUGGGGCACAGUGAAGUCAGUACUUUGUUCAGCGUUACACAGUUCAUAAUGGUGCAGCUGAGGUCUGAACUAAGGCUGUAGAGCUCCAGGAUCUGUGUGCCUUUUACACUGUGGGUAUCCCUCCCCCGCUGGCUAGCCAGUUCCUCAAGGGCAGGGGCCAUAUCUAUCUAACUGCCUAUCUAUUUAUUUUUUAUUUUUUGAUUCAGGGUCUUGCUCUGUUGCCCAGGCUGGAGUGCAGUGGUACCAUCACAGCUCACUGCAGCUUUGACCUUCCAGGCUCAAGUGGUCUUCCUGCCCCAGCCUCCCAAGUAGCUGGAACUACAGGCACACCACCAUAACCAGCUACAUUUUUCAUUUUUUAUUUUGUAGAGACAGGGUCGCACUGUGUUGCCCAGAUUGAUCUCAGAACUCCUGGACUCAAGCAGUCCUCUUGCCUUGGCCUCCCAAAGUGCUGGGAUUACAGUGUGAGACACCACACCCAACUAUAUCUAUUUAUUUAAGAAUCCCAGU
rnacentral:lncRNA from 1 species